CUGUACUUUUCUCUCUUCUCUCGCAAGUCGCGACCUCUCCGACGGCGUCUGCCCUAGGUCCGCUCGCCGCCGCGACGCUAUACGCGUACCCGAGGCGUCACGACAUCUCCCUCCCGUCUGCCUUACGCUUUGUAGAGAUUCCAGGUGGAGACGAGAAUGCAGUGUAGGAUGCAUCCCUAGACGUUCCUUGCAGAGACAGCGGCGAGGAGCCCAUUAUGUUUCCACGUCCUUCCUUUCAUGGAUACAGUGUCUUCUUUGCCUGUCAGAGCCCAGAUCUGGCCGUGGUUUGUACUGAUCAUCGUUUAAGAGAUAAGAGACUGGAAGAGAUUCAUCCCUGCAGUAAGAAUCUGUCCAAAGAAACCAAGGGAAGAUUGUGAUAACACUGAGACUAUAAAUGAUUCAGAGUUUUUGUUGACUCCAGUUUGCCACACCUGAUGAUGCAGAAUUAACAACCGGAACUUUGAAAGAUGGACGACGACACAAUAUUACGUACUAGAAAUGAAAUAUAAAAAUGAGAAGAUACAGUGGAUCGUCAUAUUUAUUUCUUGUGGAAGAAUAGGGAUGAUGCCUAAGCAAUGACACUGCCUAUGUGACAGUUGAUGAGUAUCAUGGGUAUAAGGUGCAUUUUGAAAGCUAUUUAUGCUAAAUUUCAAAAAAUCGCUUCACUUUUUCAGAAAUUUUAUGACCAUCCAGACAAGCUGCAUGCAGCUUGAAAUGCUUGGAAUAUUUGGCACACUGGCAUCAUGCAAAGGCAACGUCUUUUCACAUGUAUUGAACCAUUUUGUAUCUUGUGUGAACUAGCCCAUGACCGGUUUCAGAGAAGGCACAUGGGGUCCGCUCUUGCUGCAGAGAGGAUGAAGAGGUUGCUGGCAGCAAUGAUCAAAAUAAGAUGUGUUUGGGUACGAGGAGCAAAUUAUCCGCACUGGUGUACAAUAUCUUUGCUUGGUCAUGUUGUUUUCAGUCCCAUGUUCUUAUAGCUUAUAUAAACAUAAUUAUAUUUUCCUA